AGUAAUAAUUUAUUAAUUUUUACGAAAGAAAUGAUUAAUACAUAACUUUAUUAUACAGAUUAUGCAAUUCUCUGGUAUAUGUUUUUUCUGAUAGGUAAAGAGCUGUAAUCCUUUCCCGAAGGAAACUAAUAUUCAAGUGAAAUCUAUACCGUGAAAACUGAAAAUUAUGAUCAUACUACUUCGUGGCAAGAGACAUAUGCGGUCGAAAUGAUUGAUGCGUUCCGUGAUGCAACUAUGUAUGUAUAUAAGAAGAUGAGAUUCCUCAGCCUCAACCCACUUAAAGAUCCUUCGUUUUGCCUUGAAGAUUCUGUUGUUAACUCGUUAACUCGGAGAUUCUAACUUCUCGACAACGAAUGGAAAUUGUAUCUGCACUUGCGAAAGCAAUUAGUUGUAUGCAAAUGAGCAACAAACAAAUUUCAACGCGCGCGCGCGUGUGUGUGUGUAUGCAUUAAAUGAAUCUUUUUAUUGAUUCAAAUAUUUCAUCUGUGAUGGGAUAAUCGAUACACUAAAUUCUUUCGAUCCUUCUUUCUUGUUUCUCAAAAUAUUUGAUUCAAUAAAAAAAAGGGGGGGAAUUAUUUUAUGAUAUUGUUGUAAUACUUUUUUACAGACAUAUCUAUUAUAAAAUUUAAAUAUUUUGUUCUCGUUUUUUAAGAGUUUCAAAAAAAAAAAAAAGAAGAAAGGAGAAUAAUUUUAACUACGGCGAAGUUAAUUUGUGCAUUUAUAGAAAACUUUGAAGCACAACAAAUAUCCAGAAUACGUAUAACAUACAAAGAUAUAUAAAAUAGCUAGAAUAAAAUAUUUACUACAAUA